UUGUCUCUCUUGAGUGGAUCCUGAGUACGACGGAGCACGUGAAAUUCCGUCGGAAUCUGGGAGGACCAUCUCCUAAGGCUAAAUACUCUCUAGUGACCGAUAGUGAACCAGUACCGUGAGGGAAAGGUGAAAAGCACCCCGGAAGGGGAGUGAAAUAGAACCUGAAACCGUGUGCUUACAAGUAGUCAGAGCCCGUUAAUGGGUGAUGGCGUGCCUUUUGUAGAAUGAACCGGCGAGUUACGAUUUGAUGCAAGGUUAAGCAGUAAAUGUGGAGCCGUAGCGAAAGCGAGUCUGAAUAGGGCGUUUAGUAUUUGGUCGUAGACCCGAAACCAGGUGAUCUACCCUUGGUCAGGUUGAAGUUCAGGUAACACUGAAUGGAGGACCGAACCGACUUACGUUGAAAAGUGAGCGGAUGAACUGAGGGUAGCGGAGAAAUUCCAAUCGAACCUGGAGAUAGCUGGUUCUCUCCGAAAUAGCUUUAGGGCUAGCCUCAAGUGAUGAUUAUUGGAGGUAGAGCACUGUUUGGACGAGGGGCCCCUCUCGGGUUACCGAAUUCAGACAAACUCCGAAUGCCAAUUAAUUUAACUUGGGAGUCAGAACAUGGGUGAUAAGGUCCGUGUUCGAAAGGGAAACAGCCCAGACCACCAGCUAAGGUCCCAAAAUAUAUGUUAAGUGGAAAAGGAUGUGGCGUUGCCCAGACAACUAGGAUGUUGGCUUAGAAGCAGCCAUCAUUUAAAGAGUGCGUAAUAGCUCACUAGUCGAGUGACACUGCGCCGAAAAUGUACCGGGGCUAAACAUGUUACCGAAGCUGUGGAUUGUCCUUUGGACAAUGGUAGGAGAGCGUUCUAAGGGCGUUGAAGCAUGAUCGUAAGGACAUGUGGAGCGCUUAGAAGUGAGAAUGCCGGUGUGAGUAGCGAAAGACGGGUGAGAAUCCCGUCCACCGAUUGACUAAGGUUUCCAGAGGAAGGCUCGUCCGCUCUGGGUUAGUCGGGUCCUAAGCUGAGGCCGACAGGCGUAGGCGAUGGAUAACAGGUUGAUAUUCCUGUACCACCUAUAAUCGUUUUAAUCGAUGGGGGGACGCAGUAGGAUAGGCGAAGCGUGCGAUUGGAUUGCACGUCUAAGCAGUAAGGCUGAGUAUUAGGCAAAUCCGGUACUCGUUAAGGCUGAGCUGUGAUGGGGAGAAGACAUUGUGUCUUCGAGUCGUUGAUUUCACACUGCCGAGAAAAGCCUCUAGAUAGAAAAUAGGUGCCCGUACCGCAAACCGACACAGGUAGUCAAGAUGAGAAUUCUAAGGUGAGCGAGCGAACUCUCGUUAAGGAACUCGGCAAAAUGACCCCGUAACUUCGGGAGAAGGGGUGCUCUUUAGGGUUAACGCCCAGAAGAGCCGCAGUGAAUAGGCCCAAGCGACUGUUUAUCAAAAACACAGGUCUCUGCUAAACCGUAAGGUGAUGUAUAGGGGCUGACGCCUGCCCGGUGCUGGAAGGUUAAGAGGAGUGGUUAGCUUCUGCGAAGCUACGAAUCGAAGCCCCAGUAAACGGCGGCCGUAACUAUAACGGUCCUAAGGUAGCGAAAUUCCUUGUCGGGUAAGUUCCGACCCGCACGAAAGGCGUAACGAUUUGGGCACUGUCUCAACGAGAGACUCGGUGAAAUCAUAGUACCUGUGAAGAUGCAGGUUACCCGCGACAGGACGGAAAGACCCCGUGGAGCUUUACUGUAGCCUGAUAUUGAAAUUCGGCACAGCUUGUACAGGAUAGGUAGGAGCCUUUGAAACGUGAGCGCUAGCUUACGUGGAGGCGCUGGUGGGAUACUACCCUAGCUGUGUUGGCUUUCUAACCCGCACCACUUAUCGUGGUGGGAGACAGUGUCAGGCGGGCAGUUUGACUGGGGCGGUCGCCUCCUAAAAGGUAACGGAGGCGCUCAAAGGUUCCCUCAGAAUGGUUGGAAAUCAUUCAUAGAGUGUAAAGGCAUAAGGGAGCUUGACUGCGAGACCUACAAGUCGAGCAGGGUCGAAAGACGGACUUAGUGAUCCGGUGGUUCCGCAUGGAAGGGCCAUCGCUCAACGGAUAAAAGCUACCCCGGGGAUAACAGGCUUAUCUCCCCCAAGAGUUCACAUCGACGGGGAGGUUUGGCACCUCGAUGUCGGCUCAUCGCAUCCUGGGGCUGUAGUCGGUCCCAAGGGUUGGGCUGUUCGCCCAUUAAAGCGGUACGCGAGCUGGGUUCAGAACGUCGUGAGACAGUUCGGUCCCUAUCCGUCGUGGGCGUAGGAAAUUUGAGAGGAGCUGUCCUUAGUACGAGAGGACCGGGAUGGACAUACCUCUGGUGUACCAGUUGUCGUGCCAACGGCAUAGCUGGGUAGCUAUGUGUGGACGGGAUAAGUGCUGAAAGCAUCUAAGCAUGAAGCCCCCCUCAAGAUGAGAUUUCCCAACUUCGGUUAUAAGAUCCCUCAAAGAUGAUGAGGUUAAUAGGUUCGAGGUGGAAGCAUGGUGACAUGUGGAGCUGACGAAUACUAAUCGAUCGAAGACUUAAUCAA
rnacentral:rRNA from 1 species